rnacentral:rRNA from 1 species
UAGGGAAUCUUCGGCAAUGGACGAAAGUCUGACCGAGCAACGCCGCGUGAGUGAAGAAGGUUUUCGGAUCGUAAAACUCUGUUGUUAGAGAAGAACAAGGACGUUAGUAACUGAACGUCCCCUGACGGUAUCUAACCAGAAAGCCACGGCUAACUACGUGCCAGCAGCCGCGGUAAUACGUAGGUGGCAAGCGUUGUCCGGAUUUAUUGGGCGUAAAGCGAGCGCAGGCGGUUUCUUAAGUCUGAUGUGAAAGCCCCCGGCUCAACCGGGGAGGGUCAUUGGAAACUGUGAGACUUGAGUGCAGAAGAGGAGAGUGGAAUUCCAUGUGUAGCGGUGAAAUGCGUAGAUAUAUGGGGGAACACCAGUGGCGAAGGCGGCUCUCUGGUCUGUAACUGACGCUGAGGCUCGAAAGCGUGGGGAGCAAACAGG